GUCCAGGGUAGCCUAGUGGUCAUGGCAUCUGCCCGGAAAGCGGAUUGGGUUCGAUUCCCAUCCCUUGACA